rnacentral:lncRNA from 1 species
CAUAUGACUUUUUUCCCCUUCCAUCUCCUUACCUUCUUCUCUCUGCCUUCCUCCUUUGGAGCACGCUGUAAUAGAGAAAAGAUUUUCUAGGCUCAUCAUCCAUUUAUAGAACCACUACUCCCCAUCUUUCAUUUAGUUUGUGCAUCACUGACUUUACCCAAUGGCUUCCAGGCUCUGCAAAGCCCGGCAUGACCAAUGAGACACUCCAUUUUACUGGUUACAGUUGUUAAAAAUACAAUGGCAAGUUUUGCAGGAGCCUACUGUCAAAGAGGGACUCUCUGGGUGGGGAGGGGUGGCCGCUAAACUGGGAAGAGCCUGCCUGUGAAAAAAUGGAUGUCAAUACAUGGUGAGUGGUUUCCAGAAAUUUACUUCAUCUGCAACUAAAAGCAAGGGGGGAAGGCAGCAUGAACCACACUGGCACACUGCCAGCUCAGCACUCUCCACCAGGAACUCAGCCCCAUGCCAAGCCACUCCUGGAAGACAAGGCAAGAGAGCGAGGGCACAUUUUUUAAGGACACAUUUUAAAACAAGAAUUACACUGUCACAGCACCUACCUUCUCUCUCUUUCAAAAUUCUAGCUCAAAGAAUUAACCUCUCACAUUAGGGGAAAUAGAUAAUGAUUCAGUCAAAGGUGGGAUGAUUUGGGAAUGAACAAGAGAAGUGUCCUACUGGCAGGAAGAAAUAAAUGACUCAGAGUGAAGAAGGAGGAGGGGGAAAAACUCUUUUAAGCCACAAAGAUACCAUUUUUUGCACCAGAGGAGGUCACUGAAUAAAUCAAAGGAGAGAAAUGGAUCUUGGGAGGUCACAUGGAUAAUAGUCCUGCCUUUGGGGAGGACACCCUGCUGCCAGAAAAAUGAUUCAAGGGAAUUCUUGCUGCAGCAAGGGGUUGGGUUACUCAUGUUAAACAGUGCCCGAGAGUGUGUGCUUUAUGAAGUUGACCAGAUGUCCUGUUUGGUUAGGACUCUCCAGGUUUCUUAAUGGCUUUGAAGAGUGUCCUGGGAGUCACCCGGAGCAGGCAGGCUUGGUUCUAGGUCCCCCAUUGACACAUUGUAAAGGGCUUUGGGUUACUUUGUGUGUUACCACUUUGCAAUUGUUCAGGUCACCAAAUAAAUCAGAGAAUUUGCUAGCCUGGCAAAGCAUUGGCUAAUAACAGGUCACAGUUGUUCUGAAAAGAGACCUGAGACCAGAGACCUGCCUGAGCUCGAAAGCUUGCCUGCAGCCAAGGACUGAUGUGGGGUGUGAAUGUCCAGCC